rnacentral:lncRNA from 1 species
GUAAGUGGAAGCUGCUCCAUAAAUCAAACCAUAUAUCUUUUGAUGUUUUAAAUAUUCUGUGAAGAACCAAAUUACAAGAAAUACAGAUGAGCAAGUCUCUUCUGAAAAAUGAAAUCUAAGAAGAUACCAGAUGCUUGCUUUUAUUGGAUCCAUUAAAUUACCUUAGGAAAUCUGGUUUUCUAAUUGUAGGUUGUGCAGGUGAAAUCUGGAAAACAACUGGUGAUCAGGGGAUUUAAGAUAAGCGGAGGUGAGCAGAGCAAUGAAGACUGUUCAGAUGGAUGGAGACCUGACUGUCAUUUCUCUUGCAACUUAAUGUGGCAACUGGAUUAUAUCCUUUAAGACAGGACUUAUGUCCCCUGCUUCCCCCUAGUUCACCUCAUUUUAUUUACAGUACGCAGUGAAUAGGUUUUUUUAAAGAAAGCACAGAGCACUUUCUUGUGUGAAGUCUA